GGCCGCGGUAUUUUGACCGUGCAAAGGUAGCAUAAUCGUUAGUUUUUUAAUUGGAAUCUUGUAUGAAUGGUUGGACAAAAGAAAAUCUGUCUUUUUAUUAUUUAUUGAAUUUAACUUUUGAGUGAAAAGGCUUAAAUGAAUUAAAGGGACGAUAAGACCCUAUAAAGCUUAAUAUUAGUAUUUUAUUUGGUUGAAUUUGGUAUGAUAAAAACUUAAUGAUUAAGUUUAUUUUAUUGGGGCGAUAAAGGUAAAAUGAUUAUUAACUGCUUAAGUUUAAAUACAUGUAUUAAUGAUUGAAUUUUUAAGUGAUCCUAGAUAAAGAUUAAAAGUUUAAGUUACUUUAGGGAUAACAGCGUUAUUUUUUUUGAGAGUACUUAUCGAAAAAAAAGUUUGCGACCUCGAUGUUGAAUUAAAAUAUCUUUAUAAUUGUAGCAGUUAUAAUAGUAGGUCUGUUCGACCUUUAAAAUUUUA
rnacentral:rRNA from 1 species